rnacentral:tRNA from 2 species
GCGAGGGUGGCGAAAUUGGCAUACGCACUAGACUUAGGAUCUAGCGUCUUUGACAUGAGGGUUCGAGUCCCUCCCUUCGCACCA